GGUAGAGAGAAGCUUGCUUCUCUUGAGAGCGGCGGACGGGUGAGUAAUACCUAGGAAUCUGCCUGAUAGUGGGGGAUAACGUUCGGAAACGGACGCUAAUACCGCAUACGUCCUACGGGAGAAAGCAGGGGACCUUCGGGCCUUGCGCUAUCAGAUGAGCCUAGGUCGGAUUAGCUAGUUGGUGAGGUAAUGGCUCACCAAGGCUACGAUCCGUAACUGGUCUGAGAGGAUGAUCAGUCACACUGGAACUGAGACACGGUCCAGACUCCUACGGGAGGCAGCAGUGGGGAAUAUUGGACAAUGGGCGAAAGCCUGAUCCAGCCAUGCCGCGUGUGUGAAGAAGGUCUUCGGAUUGUAAAGCACUUUAAGUUGGGAGGAAGGGCAUUAACCUAAUACGUUAGUGUUUUGACGUUACCGACAGAAUAAGCACCGGCUAACUCUGUGCCAGCAGCCGCGGUAAUACAGAGGGUGCAAGCGUUAAUCGGAAUUACUGGGCGUAAAGCGCGCGUAGGUGGUUUGUUAAGUUGAAUGUGAAAUCCCCGGGCUCAACCUGGGAACUGCAUCCAAAACUGGCAAGCUAG
rnacentral:rRNA from 1 species